UACGAAGGGGGCUAGCGUUGCUCGGAAUUACUGGGCGUAAAGCGCACGUAGGCGGCUUCUUAAGUCGGUGGUGAAAUCCUGGAGCUCAACUCCAGAACUGCCUUUGAUACUGGCGACCUUGAGUCCGGGAGAGGUGAGUGGAACUGCGAGUGUAGAGGUGAAAUUCGUAGAUAUUCGCAAGAACACCAGUGGCGAAGGCGGCUCACUGGCCCGGUACUGACGCUGAGGUGCGAAAGCGUGGGGAGCAAACAGGG
rnacentral:rRNA from 1 species